ensembl:lincRNA Gm26776 predicted gene, 26776
CCACAGCCAUUGGAAGCACUGCUCAUGUUUAUUGGAAAAGCAGAACAUAAGACAUCUUCGGCUUCCACAGUUCUCCGAGUCCUGACUCCAUCACCCCUAAGCUUGCCAUUCAUUCCCUUGGGAGGUAACAAAAGCGCUUUAACUUAAUGCUCCCAGGGAGAAUUAAUGAGAAGGCACACCUCUGUAGCAUAUUAUGAAUAGCACUGCUUAAAGAGGCUGAGUGGGGGAGAGUGGAUGAAGAUUGGUCCCAGAAUAGAAGUUCCUUCCCAUCAUGCCCUGACCAGCCAAGGGCACAAACUUAUCCCCACCCCUACCAAUACUCAUGUGACAGGAGGGACUUCUCACAGAGGCCUGGACUUCCUGCAAGCAGAAAGGCGGCAGUGUGACAGUAAUGACCACUUUUAUCAGUAUCAUGUGUCUGGAAUGGGUUCUAGGUGGUCAAUGGUGUAGAGCUGAAGGAUUCUUUCUAUUGGUGGAACAGUGUGGCACGGCAUUAGAUCUGGAGGGCCACCAUUAGAGGCGAUGAACCAGCAGCCACUCCAUUGACUUCUUAGUAACACAAAUGGGACAUGAUCAAACAUGGCCAUGGGAAGGAUAGUGAAAGCACUCUUAUUAAAAGAAAGUGUUUGUUAUGCAAAUACUUCUAUGGGGUACACGUAGACCUUUUAUGAGAACCUGAGCAGUGUGUGUGUGUGUGUGUGUGUGUGUGCAAGUCAGUGACCUUAAACUCGGAGCCAUGGCAAGCUGCGCUAACACAAAGUUAAGACUCCACAAAGUUAGGUUGAGCUUAAUUCCAGUUUGGAAACAUGAGUGAUGAAAUAUGGUAUGUCUAUAAAAGCAAUUACGCUUUAGAUUAAAACAUCCUGUAGGGAAUCAUGUCAGCCCCAAGGAGCUGGGGUUGGAAAACAGAUAUAAUUUAUCUUUACCAAUUACUAGCUGCCUCAGCUCCUCGCCCAGUUCCCUUACCUGUAAUGAACUCAUUAAGUCUUAACAUCUUUCAGCUUUGGGAGAAAUGGUGACUGAAGCACGGGUGGGUGCCCUGCACAUUUACACGUAGACACCAUUUCUAAAAACACGAGAAAAGGCAGAACAUUCCAGAACAUUUUAGAACACGCAUGCGUGUGCCAACCCUGGUUGCUGAGCCUCAACACCGACUCCCUUCUGAAACAAGAGAGUCCUGUGAUAUCUUCAUGUAUACCGAGGUUCUAGAAUGUUCUCCCCCCAGCGAAGGAACUCUCUAGAGGCUGAGGGCCAGACUCAAGAUACUAUUGCCUUCCGGUUUUAAGGCUCUUGUGUGGCACCAGGACAGAAAGAGGACAUGUGGCACAUGGGAUCUGAAGUCAAAUGGCCAGUAAGGCCAGGACCCAAUGGGAAAGAAAGCAAAACCUGACAAUUUACCCAGUUAGACUCUACCAAAUGCCAAAUGGAUAGCUACUAUAAUGUUUGAAGUAAGUGCAUAUAUAGAGCUUGCGGUUGUUCUCAGUCAGCCGGCACAGGCAAGGCAGGCCAGCAUCCACCUGCCCCUGCUACCCAUGCAGAUAGGGGGCACGCACGGGCUCCCGGCCCAGAGCGUUAAUGUGCUGCUGAGCACUGGAGGCCCCUAGCUUCUCAUUGAGUUUUUGGUUCACCAGCUCCAGGUGGCGGCUGUUCUUCCGUGCCUGCCUCAGAGACCUCUUGACCUUCUUGACCCGGCGGCUACGCUCUAGCCCGGGCGCAUGGCCCGCCCGGGUGCCCGGGACGGCGGGGAGCCGGGGAGCCCGCAGCGCCUGCCCGAGAACCGCGGACGGGGCGCUCGGCUCGCCUGCACGCGCUCCGGAGAGCUGGGUGCACGGCUAGCUCUUCGGCCUGGAUCACCAUGACCGGGCCUUCGCC